CUCCUACGGGAGGCAGCAGUGGGGAAUAUUGCACAAUGGGGGAAACCCUGAUGCAGCGACGCCGCGUGGAGGAAGAAGGUCUUCGGAUUGUAAACUCCUGUUGUUGAGGAAGAUAAUGACGGUACUCAACAAGGAAGUGACGGCUAACUACGUGCCAGCAGCCGCGGUAAAACGUAGGUCACAAGCGUUGUCCGGAAUUACUGGGUGUAAAGGGAGCGCAGGCGGGAGAACAAGUUGGAAGUGAAAUCCAUGGGCUCAACCCAUGAACUGCUUUCAAAACUGUUUUUCUUGAGUAGUGCAGAGGUAGGCGGAAUUCCCGGUGUAGCGGUGGAAUGCGUAGAUAUCGGGAGGAACACCAGUGGCGAAGGCGGCCUACUGGGCACCAACUGACGCUGAGGCUCGAAAGUGUGGGUAGCAAACAGGAUUAGAUACCCUGGUAGUCCACACCGUAAACGAUGAUUACUAGGUGUUGGAGGAUUGACCCCUUCAGUGCCGCAGUUAACACAAUAAGUAAUCCACCUGGGGAGUACGACCGCAAGGUUGAAACUCAAAGGAAUUGACGGGGGCCCGCACAAGCAGUGGAGUAUGUGGUUUAAUUCGACGCAACGCGAAGAACCUUACCAAGUCUUGACAUCCUGCGACGCACAUAGAAAUAUGUGUUUCCUUCGGGACGCAGAGACAGGUGGUGCAUGGUUGUCGUCAGCUCGUGUCGUGAGAUGUUGGGUUAAGUC
rnacentral:rRNA from 1 species